ACUCCACCCAUGACUGUUUGUGUUGGGAGCUGCUUCGAGGCUGCUGAGCUGUCGACUAAUGUCAAGGCUGACCUCAGCUGGCAGCGCCCUUCUCCUACUUCCCUGGUAAGAAGCGAGCCCGCCCACGCACGUGUAACCAGUUGCAGCCCGUAGAACAAGAGAAGCAAUGAUACCUCUUCUGGGCAAAGACACGGGGAAGCUCCGGAGAGAUUCCACAGCAGACUCGGAUACCAUUGAUCAGG
rnacentral:lncRNA from 1 species